rnacentral:rRNA from 1 species
AGUCACUGCUAUUGGGAUUCGGCUAAGCCAUGCAAGCGGAGGGCGCGGUCGAAAGAUCGUGGCCCCGCACACUGCUCAGUAACACGUAGUCAACCUACCCUUGGGACGGGGACAACCUCGGGAAACUGAGGCUAAUCCCCGAUAGGUGAGGGACGCUGGAAUGCCUCCUCGCCCAAAGCUCCGGCGCCCAAGGAUGGGACUGCGGUCUAUCAGGCUGUUGGUGGGGUAACGGACCACCAAACCUACGACGGGUACGGGCGAUGGGAGUCGGAGCCCGGAGAUGGGGACUGAGACAAGGCCCCAGGCCCUACGGGGCGCAGCAGGCGCGAAAACUCCGCAAUGCGCGCAAGCGUGACGGGGGAAUCCCAAGUGCCGUUGGUCUUAUGAUCGACGGUUUUUAGGAAGUCUAAGAAGCUUCCAGAAUAAGGGCUGGGCAAGACUGGUGCCAGCCGCCGCGGUAACACCAGCAGCCCAAGUGGUGACCACGAUUAUUGGGCCUAAAGCGCUCGUAGCCGGAUCAGCAAGUCCCUUGUGAAAUCGGGCCGCCUAACGGUUCGGCGUGCAAGGGGUACUGUUGGUCUUGAGGCCGGGAGAGGUCGGAGGUACUCCUGGGGUAGCGGUGAAAUGCUCUAAUCCUAGGGGGACCACCAGUGGCGAAGGCGUCCGACCAGAACGGACCUGACGGUGAGGGGCGAAGGCUAGGGGAGCGAACGGGAUUAGAUACCCCGGUAGUCCUAGCUGUAAAGCAUGCGGGCCAGGUGUCUAGCGCUCCUUGAGGGCGCUAGGUGCCGGAGGGAAGCCGUUAAGCCCGCCGCCUGGAAAGUACGGCCGCAAGGCUGAAACUUAAAGAAAUUGGCGGGGGAGCACCACAAGAGGUGGGACCUGCGGUUC